rnacentral:rRNA from 1 species
UACGUAGGGUGCAAGCGUUGUCCGGAAUUAUUGGGCGUAAAGAACUCGUAGGCGGUUUGUCGCGUCUGCUGUGAAAACCCGAGGCUCAACCUCGGGCCUGCAGUGGGUACGGGCAGACUAGAGUGCGGUAGGGGAGAUUGGAAUUCCUGGUGUAGCGGUGGAAUGCGCAGAUAUCAGGAGGAACACCGAUGGCGAAGGCAGAUCUCUGGGCCGUAACUGACGCUGAGGAGCGAAAGCAUGGGGAGCGAACAGG